rnacentral:rRNA from 1 species
UACGAAGGGGGCUAGCGUUGCUCGGAAUUACUGGGCGUAAAGCGCACGUAGGCGGCUCUUUAAGUCGGAGGUGAAAUCCUGGAGCUCAACUCCAGAACUGCCUUUGAUACUGGCGAUCUCGAGUCCGGGAGAGGUGAGUGGAACUGCGAGUGUAGAGGUGAAAUUCGUAGAUAUUCGCAAGAACACCAGUGGCGAAGGCGGCUCACUGGCCCGGUACUGACGCUGAGGUGCGAAAGCGUGGGGAGCAAACAGG